rnacentral:lncRNA from 1 species
CUUUGUGGGACCGCUCUACAACGUGCAGCGUGCCUCUGCAACCAGCGCGACUCUGCAAUAACCGUGACGGUGAUACCGGUGGGCAGUCGACAUACUCGGAAAGGACCUUUGUGGGACCGCUCUACAACGUGCAACGAGCCUCAGCAAGCAGCGCGACUCUGCAAUAACCGUGACGGUGAUACCGGUGGGCAGUCGACAUACUCGGAAAGGACGUUUGUGGGACCGCUCUACAACGUGCAGCGAGCCUCUGCAACCCGCGCGACUCUGCAAUAACCGUGACGGUGAUACCGGUGGGCAGUCGACAUACUCGGAAAGGAUGACUGGUGGGUCACUCUACAACGUGCGCAAAGCUGGAAAGCAGCGCCGACGUCGCUCGCACGAGUCCACCUUAUGACGUUUUUCUAGGAGUGCGAAGGGAUGUUCUCCUCCCUGCUCCGCUUCCAAAUGAAGGAUAAUUGUGGGCCGCUUGACAACGUGCGCAAGUGUGGGCGGUGAUGGCGCAGACAACAGUGGACAGUCGACGUACCUGAAAAG